AUGCUUGUGGCAAAAUAGGUCAGUGCAUUUGGUUGUUAACCAGAAGGUUGGUGGUUUGAGCCCACCCAGGGACA